GAUGAAGAACGUAGCGAAAUGCGAUACGUAGUGUGAAUUGCAGAAUUCAGUGAAUCAUCGAAUCUUUGAACGCACAUUGCACCUCUCGGUAUUCCGGGAGGUAUGCCUGUUCGAGCGUCAUUUGUACCCUCAAGCUCUGUUUGGUGUUGGGUGUUUGUUCCGCCUCUGUGUGUGAACUCGCCUCAAAACAAUUGGCAGCCGGCGUACUUGUUUCGGAGCGCAGCACAUUUUGCGAUCCAGAUCAACGUACAGCGGCAUCCAAGAAGCCUUAUUUAACGCUCUUGACCUCGGAUCAGGUAGGGAUACCCGCUGAACUUAAGCAUAUCAAUAAGCGGAGGA
rnacentral:misc_RNA from 1 species